AUUGAACGCUGGCGGCAGGCCUAACUCAUGCAAGUCGAACAAGUGGCGGACGGGUGCGUAAUGUCUGGGAAAAUGCCUGGUGGAGGGGGAUAACUACUGGGAACUGUAGAUAAUAACGCAUACCAUCGGCUGUGCCCAGAGGGGAAUAGCUAGUAGGUGGGGUAAUGGCUCACCUAGGAGCCGAUCCCUAGCUGGUCUGAGAGGCUGACCAGCGACACUGGAACUUAGACAGGGGACAGAAUCCUACGGGGUGCAGCAGUGGGGAAUACUGCAGCAUGGGCGCAAGCCUGAUGCAGCCAGGCCGCGUGUAUGAAGAAGGCAUUCGGGUUGUAAAGUACAUUCAGCGGGGUGGCGUUACCCGCAGAAGAAGAACCGGCUAACUCCGUGCCAGCAGCCGCGGUAAUAC
rnacentral:rRNA from 1 species